rnacentral:snRNA from 1 species
GACGGAAGGAAUAUAUGAUAAAAA